rnacentral:rRNA from 1 species
CCUACGGUAGGCAGCAGUGGGGAAUAUUGGACAAUGGGGGCAACCCUGAUCCAGCCAUGCCGCGUGUGUGAAGAAGGCCCUCGGGUUGUAAAGCACUUUCAGUGAGGAAGAACGCCUGGUGGUUAAUACCCAUCAGGAAAGACAUCACUCACAGAAGAAGCACCGGCUAACUCCGUGCCAGCAGCCGCGGUAAUACGGAGGGUGCGAGCGUUAAUCGGAAUUACUGGGCGUAAAGCGCGCGUAGGUGGCUUGAUAAGCCGGUUGUGAAAGCCCCGGGCUCAACCUGGGAACGGCAUCCGGAACUGUCAAGCUAGAGUGCAGGAGAGGAAGGUAGAAUUCCCGGUGUAGCGGUGAAAUGCGUAGAGAUCGGGAGGAAUACCAGUGGCGAAGGCGGCCUUCUGGACUGACACUGACACUGAGGUGCGAAAGCGUGGGUAGCAAACAGGAUUAGAUACCCUUGUAGUC